rnacentral:rRNA from 1 species
GAGGAAUAAGCAUCGGCUAACUCCGUGCCAGCAGCCGCGGUAAUACGGGGGAUGCAAGCGUUAUCCGGAAUCAUUGGGCGUAAAGCGCCUGUAGGUUGUUUAAUAAGUCUGUUGUUAAAGACUAGGGCUUAACCCUAGAAAAGCAAUGGAAACUACUAGACUAGAGUAUGGCAGGGGUAGAGGGAAUUUCUAGUGUAGCGGUGAAAUGCGUAGAUAUUAGAAAGAACACCAGUGGCGAAAGCGCUCUACUGGACCAUUACUGACACUCAGAGGCGAAAGCUAGGGUAGCAAAAGGGAUUAGAUACCCCUGUAGUCCUAGCCGUAAACGAUGGAUACUAGAUGUUGUGCUUAAUGUACAGUAUCGUAGCUAACGCGUUAAGUAUCCCGCCUGGGGAGUACGCUCGCAAGGGUGAAACUCAAAGGAAUUGACGGGGGCCCGCACAAGCGGUGGAGCAUGUGGUUUAAUUCGAUGCAACGCGAAGAACCUUACCAGGGCUUGACAUACUACAAAUUUUUUAGAGAUAGAAAAGUGCCUUUGGGAAUGUAGAUACAGGUGGUGCAUGGCUGUCGUCAGCUCGUGUCGUGGGAUGUUGGGUUAAGUCCCGCAACGAGCGCAACCCUUAUUUUUAGUUACUAACUUGUUAGGUUUUCUAGAAAGACUGCCGGUGACAAACCGGAGGAAGGUGAGGAUGACGUCAAGUCAGCAUGCCCCUUAUGUCCUGGGCUACACACGUGCUACAAUGGUUAAGACAAAGAGUCGCGAGCUCGCGAGAGUCAGCUAAUCUCAUAAACUUAGCCUAAGUUCAGAUUGUAGGCUGCAACUCGCCUACGUGAAG